rnacentral:rRNA from 1 species
AACGAACGCUGGCGGCAUGCCUAACACAUGCAAGUCGAACGAGACCUUCGGGUUUAGUGGCGAACGGGUGCGUAACGCGUGGGAACCUGCCCUUAGGUUCGGAAUAAAUCCCCGAAAGGGGUGUUAAUACCGGAUAAUGUCUUGGGACCAAAGAUUUAUCGCCUUUGGAUGGGCCCGCGUUGGAUUAGCUAGUUGGUAGGGUAAAAGCCUACCAAGGCGACGAUCCAUAGCUGGUCUGAGAGGAUGAUCAGCCACACUGGGACUGAGACACGGCCCAGACUCCUACGGGAGGCAGCAGUGGGGAAUAUUGGACAAUGGGCGAAAGCCUGAUCCAGCAAUGCCGCGUGAGUGAUGAAGGCCUUAGGGUUGUAAAGCUCUUUUACCCGGGAUGAUAAUGACAGUACCGGGAGAAUAAGCUCCGGCUAACUCCGUG